GACGAACGCUGGCGGCGUGCUUAACACAUGCCAGUCGAACGGCAAGGCCCUGCUUUUGUGGGGUGCUCGAGUGGCGAACGGGUGAGUAACACGUGAGUAACCUGCCCUUGACUUUGGGAUAACUUCAGGAAACUGGGGCUAAUACCGGAUAGGAGCUCCUGCUGCAUGGUGGGGGUUGGAAAGUUUCGGCGGUUGGGGAUGGACUCGCGGCUUAUCAGCUGGUUGGUGGGGUAGUGGCUUACCAAGGCUUUGACGGGUAGCCGGCCUGAGAGGUUCACCGGCGACAUGAGGACUGAGAGAGGGCCCAGAAGCCAACGGGAGGCAGCAGUGGAGAGUAUGGCGCAGUGGGCGGAAGCGUGAGGCAGCAACGCCGGGUGCGUAAUGACGGCCUACGGGGUGUAAACCGCUGUCGCCUGUGACGAAGCGUGAGUGACGGUAAUGGGUAAAGAAGCACCGGCUAACUACGUG
rnacentral:rRNA from 1 species